CUGACCGCUGUUGAAGUUUAAAUUGCCAUUAAUUAUGAAACUGCAGAACACCAGCAGUUUAGACUGAGUUGCCCAGAGGUGUAUGGAAGAUUAAAGAAAUAAAGGAAAGGGAACAUUGCUUAUAAGUCACGUAGCCUGAAAUAAGUCUUCAGAUGCUGUCUCAGGAUAUAAUGUUCACCAGACAGUGAGCACUAGUAGUGAGAGGCUUCCCCAUCCCCAGUGGAUCAAGACUUGGACCAUCACUUCAACCAACAGACACCAAAAUUGCAACAAUCAAAUCUCAGUCACAGAUCCAUGUAUGACAUAUCCUGCCUGUGUGGAUCAUCCUUGUUCUGCUAAGUUUCAUGCUGGGUAACAGUGGCAGAGAGGCAGGAUCAUUGCUAUUGGUGCCCUCUUGAAAGCAGAUCUGGAGUCAGAACAUCUAUCUCAGCUCUGGCCUACCCAAGCAAGGUCUGAGGAAGGAAGUCCAGGAUGUUUUCUUCUCCUCUUUAUCUUUUUUACCUGUCAGUUCAAUCUAAUUAAUGAGGACUCCUUAGAAACAGGUAAUCUGGAAUAUGCAAGACCCAGGGCUCUUCUUUCCAUUUCAGUGACAUAUUCACUAGACCAGCACCAUGUUUUUGUUCCUCUUUCUUCUUUUGGUCUAUCAAGUCUGACAAUUUGGGCUGCACCAACAAACCACUUUACUGCCAGCCCUCGAGUUUAAACAUCUGUGGGAUGCAGGAGAUUCCACAGCAUACACAGUGCAGCUGGGCAGAUGUACCUUUAGCCUGAAACAGAAUUAAUUCCGGAUCUCAACUGAACUGCCUCUCAUCUCCAACUGAAACU